rnacentral:misc_RNA from 1 species
UCUCCGUUGGUGAGCCAGCGGAGGGAUCAUUACAGAGUUUUCACAACUCCCAACCCUUGCGAACCGUACCCAUUCUGUUCUCGUUGCUUCCGGCGGUGGCGACCGGGGGGCCCGAAACGGCCUCCCCGCCCCCACCGCCGGGGGCGCCGGGCCCGACGACCCUUUAUAUCUCAACCACAGGAACCGUCUGCGUAGACAAACAAAAUAAUCAAAACUUUCAACAACGGAUCCCUUCCCUCUGCCGUCGUUGAAGAACGCAGCAGAUCGGAACAGCAAACG